CCGACGGAGCAUAGAUAUGUGGACACGCCGGCUUGCCAGCCGAGCGGAUGUGGAUAAUAUCGCUAAUAAGAAUGCCCAUACAAAGCUCUACAGUACUAACACGUCCACAUCAAGCUCUUUUGUCUAUUUCGUCAAGUUAAACUCGGCUGACGAAGGGAGAAUGACAUCACCGGCGACGCUGAAGCAGAUAUAAAGAUUUGAGGAAAUCCAAGCCACAUGUAAGAUCGACCCACCAAGAAGUCAAGCAGAAGCAUCAAUCUGGGGACAUGGAUUCCCUUUAUGUAGCCAACGAUCCCAAGGUUGCAGGAGAGAGACAGGCCCAGAGCUCCAUCUCUCUCUCUCUCUCGAUCUCCAGUCAAGCCGCCUUCUUCCUCAGAGAAGCAUGGCAAAGGUUCGCUUCGCAAGAGGGAUGGCGCCGUCGGCCAUGAUUGUCCUCUGCAAUUCGGUGAGUGGGUAUUACAUGGAGAGUCUUUCGGUGUACGUGCUAGAACAAACCAUGGGGAGGUGUCGGCGUCGCGAACUUUAGAUACCCGUUGCAUGUCUCCUAGGGUUUGCUCGAAAUGCCCGCGAUCACAGAUUCUCUCUUACUUGGAGUUGCCUUUGAGUCACGUCUGUCACCCACCCGGUUGAACGUAACCUUAACUGUUCGAUGUACGUGUGUAUCUGCCGGGAAAUCAACUGGCUGAUGGUCCGGACAGAUGUGUCGUGUUUACAGAGGAGUUCCAUAUCGGAAUGAGUUCUCUUGAAAAUUCAAAACGGGUUUGUUCUGUCGAUGGAGUCGCUCCGUGUAAUACUUUUCGCGCGAACGAGAUCAGGCCGCCGGCACCAUUUCUCCCGCGCAGCAAACCUUCGUUCACAUGCAGCGACGAGCUCGGUUUCGAGGAAGAUUUGCAGCGCAGAGAUGCGACGGCUAGUUCAAAGGUCAGUGUGUUGAUUGAUCUGCGUUCCCCUUUCAGGACGAUGGACUUUUCGUGUCUCAGUUUCAGGUUGGGACUGUGAGCGGCUUUCAAAGCAGGCCUUUGGCCUGAGCUAAGAUGAGGAAAUGCUGUCCAGAUCCGUAAUGAUUUUCUCUUGCUGUCGAGAGCUCUUUCGGGCAUUCCAUGCAACGACGGAUCCACCAGGAAGGCUGACGUGAAGAUUCAUGCAAUUUUCUGUCGGAGCCCAUGCUGAAUCUUCACACCCGUCCCCGAAGAUGAUUUCUGCAAUUUUCGGGCGUGGCGGCAUCAUCCCGAAUGGAGCCUGCUAAAGCGUGCCGGCACAGCGUGUAGGAUGUCGAUCUGGAGACGUUCUUGGGUGCAUCGGGUCACGUGAGUUCCGAUACAUCCCUUUCCUUAGUUCGUGCGGCUUCCGCCGGGACCGAACGACAUGAAGAUUCGUGCAAUUUUCUGUCGGAGCCCAUGCUGAAUCUUCACGCCCGUCGAUUCCCCAGAGAUGAUUUCUGCAAUUUUCGGGCGUGGCGGCAUCAUCCCGAAUGGAGCCUGCUAAAGCGUGCCGGCACAGCGUGUAGGAUGUCGAUCUGGAGACGUUCUUGGGUGCAUCGGGUCACGUGAGUUCCGAUACAUCCCUUUCCUUAGUUCGUGCGGCUUCCGCCGGGACCGAACGACAUGAAGAUUCGUGCAAUUUUCUGUCGGAGCCCAUGCUGAAUCUUCACGCCCGUCGAUUCCCCGAAGAUGAUUUCUGCAAUUUUCGGGCGUGGCGGCAUCAUCCCGAAUGGAGCCUGCUAAAGCGUGCCGGCACAGCGUGUAGGAUGUCGAUCUGGAGACGUUCUUGGGUGCAUCGGGUCACUUUUCUGUCGGAGCCUAUGCUGAAUCUUCACGCCCGUCGAUUCCCCAGAGAUGAUUUCUGCAAUUUUCGGGCGUGACGGCAUCAUCCCGAAUGAAGCCUGCUAAAGCGUGCCGGCACAGCGUGUAGGAUGUCGAUCUGGAGACGUUCUCGGGUGCGUCGGGUCACGAGAGCCCGAUACAUCCCUUUCCUUUGUUCAUGCGGCUUCCGCCGGGACCGAUCGACGUGAAAGAUCCUGAUGGCUCCGAGCUUACGAGCACCCGGAUCACAUAAGAGUUUCUUCUUUGUUUGUGGGAAAUAAUUUGAUUAUUUCAUGCUUGUGCCGACUAAUGUGUACGACCGGCGCUCCACCUUUUCCAUGUGGUCUUUUAAAGAAUUUGGUUAUGAGCUGUUUUCAGGUUGACGGGUUCAUCAUCAUCUGGCAAGAACUGAACUGGCUUCAGCUAUUGGCUGUGUACUGUACUGUAUUGUUGUUUGAUUCACCAUCAAUGCAUACUGUCGGGGCGACGCAACGUUAUAUUGAA